UACGUAGGGGGCAAGCGUUGUCCGGAUUUAUUGGGCGUAAAGAGCGUGUAGGCGGCUUGGUAGGUCUCGCGUCAAAACCUGAGGCUCAACCUCAGUUCGCGUGGGAAACCCCCUGACUAGAGUCCGGAAGAGGAGAGUGGAAUUCCUGGUGUAGCGGUGAAAUGCGCAGAUAUCAGGAAGAACACCCGUGGCUAAGGCGGCUCUCUAGUACGGUACUGACGCUGAGACGCGAAAGCGUGGGGAGCGAACAGG
rnacentral:rRNA from 1 species